UCGCUUUGGCAGCAUAUACACUAAAACUGGAACAAUGCAGAGAAGAUUGGCAUGGCUUCUGCGCAAGAACGACAUGCAGAUUUGUGAAGCGUUUUUAUAUUUU